CCUACGGGUGGCAGCAGUGAGGAAUAUUGGUCAAUGGACGCAAGUCUGAACCAGCCAUGCCGCGUGCAUGAUGACGGCUCUAUGAGUUGUAAACUGCUUUUGUACGAGGGUAAACGCCGAUACGUGUAUCUGUUUGAAAGUAUCGUACGAAUAAGGAUCGGCUAACUCCGUGCCAGCAGCCGCGGUAAUACGGAGGAUCCGAGCGUUAUCCGGAUUUAUUGGGUUUAAAGGGUGCGUAGGCGGUUUGAUAAGUUAGAGGUGAAAUGUCGGGGCUCAACCCCGGAAUUGCCUCUAAUACUGUUCGACUAGAGAAUAGUUGCGGUAGGCGGAAUGUAUGGUGUAGCGGUGAAAUGCUUAGAGAUCAUACAGAACACCGAUUGCGAAGGCAGCUUACCAAACUAUAUCUGACGUUGAGGCACGAAAGCGUGGGUAGCAAACAGGAUUAGAUACCCGUGUAGUC
rnacentral:rRNA from 1 species